GCUGUGGAAAAUAUAGACAGAGGCAAACUGGGAAUUGGUCCUGCUUCGAGCAGGGGGUUGGACUAGAUGACCUUCUGGGGUCCCUUCCAACCCUUAUAUUCUAUGAUUCUAUGAUAAACAAAGGCAACACAAGUUACAGGACUGAGAUUACAUUUGCAAAGGUUGGCCUCCCAGUAAGACCCAACAGUCUGCCUUUGAGCCAGGGUGGUUUGGGGACACUGAAGAAGCCACAGGCAGCUGGUGUGGACUAGAAUACUGAGCAAAGGUCUCUGAAAGGGAUGCCCCAAGAGACCCCAGGGCGGGAAAAAAACCCAAGAGCAGAAGCAAGUUGGAGAUCUUUUGCAGCUUACCUCUGGACAACCUGUGCACAGGAUAACCUCCCAUCCACUCUCUUUCUCUCUCUCUCUGUCUCUUCUACCCCCAGGCCUGGCCAGCCCGGGCAGUGUGUUUAAAAACAGGAAAAGCUGAUACCAACUGGAAGCCGAAAAAUGUUCUUGGAGUGUUGCUGGGUACACUUUACAUCCUGAUCACCUUUGGCACUUCCCAGAAGGCCGCCUGGUUGUGCCAAGGGUGCUCUUGCCCUAUUAGGCUCGCAAGCACCACGGAGUGGCGCACGUGAAAGAAGCACUACCGAAGGAUCCCGAGCAACCCUGCCACUCACUGGAACCAGGAGACUGGGUCUACAUAAAGGUCCAUCAGCGAAAGACUGCCCUGAUCCCACGUUGGAAAGGCCCUUACCAAGUCCUGUUAACUAUCAACACCACUGUGAAGUGCCAAGGACUGACUGCCUGGACCCAUGCUUCUCACUGCAAGAAGGCCCCUCCACCUCGAGAUGACCCUCUGACUGCUGAUCAGCCUGUUCCUCCUUCUGGUACUUCUUUUCCUUCUUCUGGACAGCAGGAGAAAAGGACAAGGUGAAAUGCUGGUAACCUCUCCCUUGUCCACUAACAGAACCACCAUACAUUCACCAUCUGCUGGAGGAACCCAGUUAUUACAGGGUGACGUGCUGGUAACUUCUCCCGUGUAUGAUGCUGAACCACGACUGUUCCAGGAAAGAAGAAAGUAUGUUUGUUCCACUGAAACCGCCAAAGUCCAGGGAUUCUUAAUUACAAAAGACAUUAAAAAUUGGCCCUGGUGGAAGAGACAGAGCAUCGUAACCUGGCAGGGAGGAACUUGUGGGAACCGCGCUUCGGACUGUGGUAUUGAGUGGUGGUUUGGGUUUAUUCUGGGGACUGGGCUCUGUGCUUUUGGAUAAGUACCUUCAGCAUGUAUAGCCCUCCCUAACUGGCGUACAGAUGACAAAUACCAAGGGCGCCUUGCUGCCAUGACCACUGCCCCCGCCAUUAUCCUCACUACCACUACCACCCCGUAACACACCCUAAUACAGAUAAUACCAUAUACUCUGAUGAAACCCAAUGGCCAAGACCGUCACACCUUAGUGAUCCCUAUGGGAUGGUGCCAAUAGAGCAGCAGCAAUUUGAAUAUUUAUAAAGGCCAACAACAUGAAGAGAAAUUAGGACAGUUGGAAAAAGCCACAGGUCUUAUUACUGGAGUACAGUACGCAGGUACAGGCUGGGGUUGGUAAAUUAUAUGUUAUUUUGCCCUUAGCUCAAUGAACCAGAAGCUGUUGAUAGAGAUGGUAUUGAAUAUCACUGAGGCUGGGAAGGCAUUGCAGUGGGAUCUGGCAUGUUCAGAAAUUUAGGAUUUCCUGACUGACCAGCUCAUGGCCAUUCGGAGUGAUCUAGAGCAUCAGGCUUGGCCCACUGCCCUUACAGACACUUCAGGAAUGCCAUCUGAUCUGUGGCCAUGGAGACAUACUUGGAGAUUUUCUGGGUGGAAGUGCAGACACUCACAGUGCUCUUUCCAUCCAUACGGGCCGGUUGGAGGGGUGUGGGCUCCCACAUACCGAAUCCUGCCAGGUCC